rnacentral:tRNA from 1 species
GGGCCGCAGAGUCAUGGUGACCGGCCGGGCCUCCAAAACCCGGAGAGAGGGUUCGAUUCCUUCGCGGCCCG